rnacentral:sRNA from 1 species
CAACAAGCCAACCCAUGAUUCUCCUCUUAUUGAUCGCCCUGUUUGGCUAGUGGUCCACGGGAUAUGGGAUGCGGGAUACAGGCUAUCUUCUACUCUCUGUUCUCUAGGGGCUUAUUAGAUCUCCGCCAACCACAGACACCUUCCAAUUUCCUGCACUAUUCCAAGAGGAUAACAUACUGUACUUCCCGCAUAUACGACUUCUAGCUCAACUUAAGAGCAGGCACUCAGUUACUAAAAGCAUGUCGUCCCGCCGCUUCUCAUUACAUUAUGUAUUAUGGAUGUCACUCCCGCCA